AACUAAGGUUGUUCUGGGUAUAAGCUUUCAUGUGCAUGCACACUUCUUCACAUAGCUUCAGAUAACAGGUAUCUGAAGAAGUGUGCAUGCACAUGAAAGCUUAUACCAAGAACAGACUUUGUUGG
rnacentral:miRNA from 1 species